rnacentral:rRNA from 1 species
AACCGGAUUAGAUACCCUGGUAGUCCACGCCCUAAACGAUGUCUACUAGUUGUCGGGUUUUAAUUAACUUGGUAACGCAGCUAACGCGUGAAGUAGACCGCCUGGGGAGUACGGUCGCAAGAUUAAAACUCAAAGGAAUUGACGGGGACCUGCACAAGCGGUGGAUGAUGUGGAUUAAUUCGAUGCAACGCGAAAAACCUUACCUACCCUUGACAUGUACGGAAGACCGAAGAGAUUUGGUUGUGCUCGAAAGAGAACCGUAACACGGGUGCUGCAUGGCUGUCGUCAGCUCGUGUCGUGAGAUGUUGGGUUAAGUCCCGCAACGAGCGCAACCCUUGUCAUUAGUUGCUACAUUUAGUUGAGCACUCUAAUGAGACUGCCGGUGACAAACCGGAGGAAGGUGGGGAUGACGUCAAGUCCUCAUGGCCCUUAUGGGUAGGGCUUCACACGUCAUACAAUGGUACAUACAGAGGGCCGCCAACCCGCGAGGGGGAGCUAAUCCCAGAAAGUGUAUCGUAGUCCGGAUCGCAGUCUGCAACUCGACUGCGUGAAGU